UUUGGAUCCAUGAUGUUAUUUUACUAUCUGCGUUAUCUUUCUGAACUUCCUUUUUUAAGGGAUUGAAGAUAACUUUUUUUGAUGCUGAGAUCCAAU
rfam:Corchorus capsularis cultivar CVL-1 contig06064, whole genome shotgun sequence.